rnacentral:rRNA from 1 species
AGACCCGAAACCCGGUGAUCUAGCCAUGGGCAGGUUGAAGGUUGGGUAACACUAACUGGAGGACCGAACCGACUAAUGUUGAAAAAUUAGCGGAUGACUUGUGGCUGGGGGUGAAAGGCCAAUCAAACCGGGAGAUAGCUGGUUCUCCCCGAAAGCUAUUUAGGUAGCGCCUCGUGAAUUCAUCUCCGGGGGUAGAGCACUGUUUCGGCAAGGGGGUCAUCCCGACUUACCAACCCGAUGCAAACUGCGAAUACCGGAGAAUGUUAUCACGGGAGACACACGGCGGGUGCUAACGUCCGUCGUGAAGAGGGAAACAACCCAGACCGCCAGCUAAGGUCCCAAAGUCAUGGUUAAGUGGGAAACGAUGUGGGAAGGCCCAGACAGCCAGGAUGUUGGCUUAGAAGCAGCCAUCAUUUAAAGAAAGCGUAAUAGCUCACUGGUCGAGUCGGCCUGCGCGGAAGAUGUAACGGGGCUAAACCAUGCACCGAAGCUGCGGCAGCGACACUGUGUGUUGUUGGGUAGGGGAGCGUUCUGUAAGCCUGUGAAGGUGUGCUGUGAGGCAUGCUGGAGGUAUCAGAAGUGCGAAUGCUGACAUAAGUAACGAUAAAGCGGGUGAAAAGCCCGCUCGCCGGAAGACCAAGGGUUCCUGUCCAACGUUAAUCGGGGCAGGGUGAGUCGACCCCUAAGGCGAGGCCGAAAGGCGUAGUCGAUGGGAAACAGGUUAAUAUUCCUGUACUUGGUGUUACUGCGAAGGGGGGACGGAGAAGGCUAUGUUGGCCGGGCGACGGUUGUCCCGGUUUAAGCGUGUAGGCUGGUUUUCCAGGCAAAUCCGGAAAAUCAAGGCUGAGGCGUGAUGACGAGGCACUACGGUGCUGAAGCAACAAAUGCCCUGCUUCCAGGAAAAGCCUCUAAGCAUCAGGUAACAUCAAAUCGUACCCCAAACCGACACAGGUGGUCAGGUAGAGAAUACCAAGGCGCUUGAGAGAACUCGGGUGAAGGAACUAGGCAAAAUGGUGCCGUAACUUCGGGAGAAGGCACGCUGAUAUGUAGGUGAAGUCCCUCGCGGAUGGAGCUGAAAUCAGUCGAAGAUACCAGCUGGCUGCAACUGUUUAUUAAAAACACAGCACUGUGCAAACACGAAAGUGGACGUAUACGGUGUGACGCCUGCCCGGUGCCGGAAGGUUAAUUGAUGGGGUCAGCGCAAGCGAAGCUCUUGAUCGAAGCCCCGGUAAACGGCGGCCGUAACUAUAACGGUCCUAAGGUAGCGAAAUUCCUUGUCGGGUAAGUUCCGACCUGCACGAAUGGCGUAAUGAUGGCCAGGCUGUCUCCACCCGAGACUCAGUGAAAUUGAACUCGCUGUGAAGAUGCAGUGUACCCGCGGCAAGACGGAAAGACCCCGUGAACCUUUACUAUAGCUUGACACUGAACAUUGAGCCUUGAUGUGUAGGAUAGGUGGGAGGCUUUGAAGUGUGGACGCCAGUCUGCAUGGAGCCGACCUUGAAAUACCACCCUUUAAUGUUUGAUGUUCUAACGUGGACCCGUGAUCCGGGUUGCGGACAGUGUCUGGUGGGUAGUUUGACUGGGGCGGUCUCCUCC